rnacentral:lncRNA from 1 species
AGCAGAAGAAGGUUGAAGAGUAACGUUAUUAAGACGCUCAAGCGUCAAGAUAAGAGCUUGGGUACCCAAAUUGCCCUCCCCGUGAGCCUUGAGUGAGAGAUAGAGCUGCUGAGCGAGUGCCAAACCAGGAAGAGAAAGCCCCAUUUUUUGACACUCAAUCAAACAUAUCCCCAAAUCCUUAACAAAGUGAUUCACAAAGAAACCAGCCUCGAAAUCCCUCUUCAAAAUCCUACUCCCAUACAAAUCCAACGACUUUGAGCCGGCAGCGCCGGUGGAAAUUGCGUUCAAAAACAAAGCCACAUCGAGACCAGACUUGUAAGCAUACAUCAUCCCUUCUAUCAGUCCAAGCAUAGUCGAAGCUAUGAUGAUUUGGUUCGCGAGCUUCGCGUAUUGCCCUUUUCCAGGGCCACCCAUGUAGUUAACCUUGCCCAGAUGGGAAAAUAAGGGGUUCAGGCGCCUGACGACGGACUCGUCCCCGCCGGCGAAGAUAGCAAGGGUGGCGUUCUUGGCGCCCCGGUCUCCGCCGGAGACGGGGGCGUCAACGGAGAAGCAGCCCCUGGAGGCAGCAGAGGAGGCGAUUUCGGCUGCGAGUGAAGGAUCAGAGGUGGUCAUGUCGACGAGGACUCCACCGGGGCGGAGUCCGGAGAGGGCGCCGGAGGAGGGGUCGAGGAGGACGGAGCGGACGUCGGAGGGGAAGCCGACAAUCGAGAAAACGACGUCGGAUUGGGAGGCGAGAGCGAGAGGAGAGGAGGCGUGGUGAGCCCCCAUGUCGAGGAGGGGUUGUGCCUUGGAGAUGGUGCGGUUGAAGAUAGUUACAGUAUAACCCGCUUUCAUCAGAUGAGCGCACAUCGACCGCCCCAUCACGCCGGUUCCAAUCCAGCCGACGCGGGU